CGGACGGGUGAGUAACGCGUGAGUAACCUGCCUUACACAAGGGGAUAGCCGUUGGAAACGACGAAUAAUACCCUAUGACAUAAACUCUUCGCAUGAGGAGCUUAUCAAAGAUUUAUCGGUGUAAGAUGGACUCGCGUCUGAUUAGCUAGUUGGUGAGGUAACGGCCCACCAAGGCGACGAUCAGUAGCCGGCUUGAGAGAGUGUACGGCCACAUUGGGACUGAGACACGGCCCAGACUCCUACGGGAGGCAGCAGUU
rnacentral:rRNA from 1 species